UGCGUAGGCGGGUCUUUAAGUCAGGGGUGAAAUCCUGGAGCUCAACUCCAGAACUGCCUUUGAUACUGAGGGUCUUGAGUCCGGGAGAGGUGAGUGGAACUGCGAGUGUAGAGGUGAAAUUCGUAGAUAUUCGCAAGAACACCAGUGGCGAAGGCGGCUCACUGGCCCGGUACUGACGCUGAGGCACGAAAGCGUGGGAGCAAACA
rnacentral:rRNA from 1 species